UACGGAAGGCAGCAGUGGGGAAUAUUGCACAAUGGGCGAAAGCCUGAUGCAGCUAUGCCGCGUGUAUGAAGAAGGCCUUAGGGUUGUAAAGUACUUUCAUCGGGGAGGAAAAAACAAAACUAAUAAUUUUAUUUCUUGACGUUACCCGAAAAAGAAGCACCGGCUAACUCCGUGCCAGCAGCCGCGGUAAUACGGAGGGUGCUAGCGUUAAUCAGAAUUACUGGGCGUAAAGAGCACGUAGGUGGUUUUUUUAAAGUCAGAUGUGAAAUCCCUGGGCUUAACCUAGGAACUGCAUUUUGAAACUGAAAUACUAGAGUAUCGUAGAGGGAGGUAGAAUUCUAGGUGUAGCGGUGAAAUGCGUAGAUAUCUGGAGGAAUACCUGUGGCGAAAGCGGCCUCCUAAACGAAUACUGACACUGAGGUGCGAAAGCGUGGGGAGCAAAC
rnacentral:rRNA from 1 species